rnacentral:rRNA from 1 species
UUAUAAGAGACAGCAGCCGCCGCGGUAAUACGUAGGGUGCAAGCGUUAAUCGGAAUUACUGGGCGUAAAGCGUGCGCAGGCGGUUAUAUAAGACAGAUGUGAAAUCCCCGGGCUCAACCUGGGAACUGCAUUUGUGACUGUAUAGCUAGAGUACGGCAGAGGGGGAUGGAAUUCCGCGUGUAGCAGUGAAAUGCGUAGAUAUGCGGAGGAACACCGAUGGCGAAGGCAAUCCCCUGGGCCUGUACUGACGCUCAUGCACGAAAGCGUGGGGAGCAAACAGGAUUAGAUACCCCCGUAGUCCCUGUCUCUUAUAC